UUCUUCUAUCGCAAAGGCGGCAGAAAGGCCACAGCAGAUCAGAAUACUUUUAACCCUAUGGAUUUUUAUCUGAACUCUUUGGGUUUAUCUUGCAAAUCAUGUUUUCACACC